AAUUGGCCAGAGCCCAAGGCAUAUAUAAGUCUGAAGUUGAUCUGGAAAUUUGAUUUUUAGUGACGAAAAAUCUGAUGAACAUCUGUCGCUAAAACCUUUUGGUGACAAAAAAGCUUCAAAUUUCUGGGCAAAACAGCAGCUGUCACCCCCAUAAAGAAUCAAGGAAGCUGUGGCUGUUGCUGGGCAUUUUCUGCAGUGGCAGCAGUGGAAGGGAUUAUCCAAAUCAAAACUGGGAAACUGAUCCCACUGUCCGAGCGACAACUUCUGGACUGUACCAGCGGCAAUGGCAACCAAGGCUGCAAUGUUGGUCAGAUUCCUUUAUAACAUGAGGAAGGGUGAUGUAGCAGCCAAAGGAGCUUAAUUUAUCUUAAAAUUCUUGUGGCAUCGGAGACAUGCUCAAAGACAUCAUUGAUCUUCUUAAUAGCUGCUUUCUCACCAGUGUAUCAACUGCAGGUGCAACAACACCAUAGCUACCUCU